GAUGAACGCUGGCGGCGUGCCUAAUACAUGCAAGUCGAGCGAACAGACGAGGAGCUUGCUCCUCUGACGUUAGCGGCGGACGGGUGAGUAACACGUGGAUAACCUACCUAUAAGACUGGGAUAACUUCGGGAAACCGGAGCUAAUACCGGAUAAUAUAUUGAACCGCAUGGUUCAAUAGUGAAAGACGGUUUUGCUGUCACUUAUAGAUGGAUCCGCGCCGCAUUAGCUAGUUGGUAAGGUAACGGCUUACCAAGGCAACGAUGCGUAGCCGACCUGAGAGGGGGAUCGGCCACACUGGAACUGAGACCCGGUCCAGACUCCUACGGGAGGCAGCAGUAGGGAAUCUUCCGCAAUGGGCGAAAGCCUGACGGAGCAACGCCGCGUGAGUGAUGAAGGUCUUCGGAUCGUAAAACUCUGUUAUUAGGGAAGAACAAAUGUGUAAGUAACUAUGCACGUCUUGACGGUACCUAAUCAGAAAGCCACGGCUAACUACGU
rnacentral:rRNA from 1 species